CAAUAGCGUAUAUUUAAGUUGUUGCAGUUAAAAAGCUCGUAGUUGGAUUUCGGAUGGGACUUGCCGGUCCGUCGUUGCGAUGUGCACUGGCCAGUCCUAUCUUGUUGUCGGGGACUAGCUCUUGGUCUUCACUGGCCGGGACUAGGAGCUGACGAGGUUACUUUGAGUAAAUUAGAGUGUUCAAAGCAAGCCUACGCUCUGAAUACAUUAGCAUGGAAUAACACGAUAGGACUCUGGCUUAUCUUGUUGGUCUGUGAGACCAGAGUAAUGAUUAAGAGGGACAGUCGGGGGCAUUCGUAUUUCAUUGUCAGAGGUGAAAUUCUUGGAUUUAUGAAAGACGAACUACUGCGAAAGCAUUUGCCAAGGAUGUUUUCAUUAA
rnacentral:rRNA from 1 species